AUUGAACGCUGGCGGCAUGCUUUACACAUGCAAGUCGAACGGCAGCACGGGGGCAACCCUGGUGGCGAGUGGCGAACGGGUGAGUAAUGCAUCGGAACGUGUCCUUAAGUGGGGGAUAACGCAUCGAAAGAUGCGCUAAUACCGCAUAAUCUCUAAGGAGAAAAGCAGGGGAUCGCAAGGCCUUGCGCUUUUGGAGCGGCCGAUGUCUGAUUAGCAGUUGGUGAGGUAAAGGCUUACCAAGGCUUCGAUCAGUAGCUGGUCUGGGAGGACGACCAGCCACACUGGGACUGAGACACGGCCCAGACUCCUACGGGAGGCAGCAGUGGGAAUUUUGGACAAUGGGGAAACCCUGAUCCAGCCAUGCCGCGUGAGUGAAGAAGGCCU
rnacentral:rRNA from 1 species